UACGAAGGGGCUAGCGUUGCUCGGAAUCACUGGGCGUAAAGGGUGCGUAGGCGGGUCUUUAAGUCAGGGUGAAAUCCGUGGAGCUCAACUCCAGAACUGCCUUUGAUACUGAGGAUCUUGAGUUCGGGAGAGGUGAGUGGAACUGCGAGUGUAGAGGUGAAAUUCGUAGAUAUUCGCAAGAACACCAGUGGCGAAGGCGGCUCACUGGCCCGGUACUGACGCUGAGGUGCGAAAGCGGUGGGGAGCAACAGGG
rnacentral:rRNA from 1 species